rnacentral:rRNA from 1 species
UACGGGGGGGGCAAGCGUUGUUCGGAAUUACUGGGCGUAAAGAGCUCGUAGGUGGUUUGUCGCGUUGUUCGUGAAAACUCACAGCUUAACUGUGGGCGUGCGGGCGAUACGGGCAGACUGGAGUACUGCAGGGGAGACUGGAAUUCCUGGUGUAGCGGUGAAAUGCGCAGAUAUCAGGAGGAACACCGGUGGCGAAGGCGGGUCUCUGGGCCGAUAUCGACGCUGAGGAGCGAAAGCGUGGGGAGCGAACAGG